rnacentral:rRNA from 1 species
GACGAACGCUGGCGGCGUGCUUAACACAUGCAAGUGGAGCGACGAAACCGGGCUUGCCCGGUGGCAGAGCCGCGAACGGGUGAGUAACACGUGGGUAACCUGCCCCGAUGAUUGGGACAACUCCGGGAAACCGGAGCUAAUACCAAAUGUGUUCACAUUCCUGAAGGGGUGUGAGGAAAGGAAGCUUCGGCCUCCGCAUCGGGAUGGGCCCGCGGCCCAUUAGCUUGUUGGUGGGGUAACGGCCUACCAAGGCGACGAUGGUAGCUGGUCUGAGAGGAAGAUCAGCCACACUGGGACUGAGACACGGCCCAGACUCCUACGGGAGGCAGCAGUGGGGAAUCUUGCGCAAUGCGCGAAAGCGUGACGCAGCAACGCCGCGUGCGGGAAGACGGCCUUCGGGUUGUAAACCGCUUUCAGUUGGGACGAAGCUUCGCCGGUGAAUAGCCGGCUGGAGUGACGGUACCUUCACAAGAAGCACCAGCUAACUACGUGCCAGCAGCCGCGGUAA